UACAUUUUGCAGUGUUAAAGUAACACUGUAGUGAGUUUGCAUGUGGUGCCAUUCUAAAUAGCAUUAAGUCAACUCUAUUAGAGUGUUAAAUCAAGUUGAUCAACACUGAUACAGUUAAUUUAAUUAAAAUUACUUAAAUUAUAAUCUCCAGGAGCA